rnacentral:rRNA from 1 species
CAAUAGCAUAUAUUAACGUUGUUGCAGUUGAAAAGCUCGUAGUUGAACUUUUGGUAGGAGCGACCUGGCCUUGGGCGCAUGCCCUUGUUUGCCGUGUGUCGUGUCUGGCCAUCCUUUUCCGCUUCGGCGGGAACCUUUUACUGUGAGUAAACUGGAGUGCUCAAAACAAGACGUUUGUUUGGUACAUUAAAGCAUGGAAUAAUAAGAUAGGACCUGGUUACUAUUUUGUUGGUUUGCAUAGCUAGGUAAUGAUUAACAGGGACAGUUGGGGGUAUUCGUAUUUAAUUGUCAGAGGUGAAAUUCUUGGAUUUAUGAAAGACGAACGACUGCGAAAGCAUUUACCAAGGAUGUUUUCAUUAA